rnacentral:rRNA from 1 species
GUCCGCGCUGUAAACGGUGGGUACUAGNUGUGGGGGACAUUCCACGUUCUCUGUGCCGUAGCUAACGCAUUAAGUACCCCGCCUGGGGAGUACGGCCGCAAGGCUAAAACUCAAAGGAAUUGACGGGGCCCCGCACAAGCGGCGGAGCAUGCGGAUUAAUUCGAUGCAACGCGAAGAACCUUACCUGGGUUUGACAUAUAUCGGAAACGUUCAGAGAUGGGCGCCCCGUAAGGUCGGUAUACAGGUGGUGCAUGGCUGUCGUCAGCUCGUGUCGCGAGAUGUUGGGUUAAGUCCCGCAACGAGCGCAACCCUCGUCCAAUGUUGCCAGCGGGUUAUGCCGGGGACUCAUUGGAGACCGCCGGGGUCAACUCGGAGGAAGGUGGGGAUGACGUCAAGUCAUCAUGCCCCUUAUGUCCAGGGCUUCACGCAUGCUACAAUGGCCGGUACAAAGAGUUGCGAGCCUGUGAGGGUGAGCGAAUCUCAAAAAGCCGGUCUCAGUUCGGAUUGGGGUCUGCAACUCGACCCCAUGAAGUCGGAGUCGCUAGUAAUCGCAGAUCAGCAACGCUGCGGUGAAUACGUUCCCGGGGCUUGUACACACCGCCCGUCAAGUCAUGAAAGUCGGUAACACCCGAAGCCGGUGGCNNNNNCCGUUUGGGGGGGAGCUAUCGAAGGUGGGACUGGUAAUUAGGACUAAGUCGUAACAAGGUAACC